GAGAAUCAAUGGAAAAGAAAGAAGUAACGCAAUUGAAGUUAAAUCUCUGAUGCAAUGCUACCUCAAGCAUAAAAAGAGAAUCACAUAUUUGACUACCUAUAUUGCUUUGAACACUACUGGUGGAGCAACAUGUUCAUGGGGACAGCUUCAACAUUGGGAGAUAGAGCUUCAACAUGUUCCUGCAAAAAGAGGGUGGCAAAUAUAAAAGAAACAAUUUCAAAAAACCAAAAAUGUAAAGAGAGCAACCUUGGCAUAAGACUUUUGAUUCCUCUUGUAGAGCAACCUUGGAAUUACUUCCUCUCUUUGGGAGUAUAAGAACAUCUUUUCU